rnacentral:rRNA from 1 species
ACUUACGUGCUUACGCUUAAAACCCAAAGGACUUGACGGUGUCCCACCCACCUAGAGGAGCCUGUUCUAUAAUCGACACUCCCCGCUUCACCUCACCAUUUUUAGCCUCUCAGCCUGUAUACCUCCGUCGUAAGCUUACCCUAUGAAUGUAUUAGUAAGCCCAAAGGUCCACCCACCAAUACGUCAGGUCAAGGUGCAGCUCAUAAAAUGGAAAGCAAUGGGCUACAAUUUCUAACCUAGAACAAACGAAAAACUGUAUGAAACACAGUUACGAAGGCGGAUUUAGCAGUAAAAAGAAAAUAGAGUGUUCUUUUUAAUCAGGCCCUGGGACGCGUACACACCGCCCGUCACCCU